CCUACGGGGGGCAGCAGUGGGGAAUAUUGGACAAUGGGGGCAACCCUGAUCCAGCCAUGCCGCGUGUGUGAAGAAGGCCCUCGGGUUGUAAAGCACUUUCAGUGAGGAAGAACGCCUGGUGGUUAAUACCCAUCAGGAAAGACAUCACUCACAGAAGAAGCACCGGCUAACUCCGUGCCAGCAGCCGCGGUAAUACGGAGGGUGCGAGCGUUAAUCGGAAUUACUGGGCGUAAAGCGCGCGUAGGUGGCUUGAUAAGCCGGUUGUGAAAGCCCCGGGCUCAACCUGGGUACGGCAUCCGGAACUGUCAAGCUAGAGUGCAGGAGAGGAAGGUAGAAUUCCCGGUGUAGCGGUGAAAUGCGUAGAGAUCGGGAGGAAUACCAGUGGCGAAGGCGGCCUUCUGGACUGACACUGACGCUGAGGUGCGAAAGCGUGGGUAGCAAACAGGAUUAGAUACCCGUGUAGUC
rnacentral:rRNA from 1 species